rnacentral:rRNA from 1 species
AUUGAACGCUGGCGGCAGGCCUAACACAUGCAAGUCGAGCGGUAGAGAGGUGCUUGCAUCUCUUGAGAGCGGCGGACGGGUGAGUAAUGCCUAGGAAUCUGCCUAGUGGUGGGGGAUAACGUUCGGAAACGGACGCUAAUACCGCAUACGUCCUACGGGAGAAAGCGGGGGGAUCUUCGGACCUCGCGCCAUUAGAUGAGCCUAGGUCGGAUUAGCUAGUUGGUGAGGUAAUGGCUCACCAAGGCGACGAUCCGUAACUGGUCUGAGAGGAUGAUCAGUCACACUGGAACUGAGACACGGUCCAGACUCCUACGGGAGGCAGCAGUGGGGAAUAUUGGGACAAUGGGCGAAAGCCUGAUCCAGCCAUGCCGCGUGUGUGAAGAAGGUCUUCGGAUUGUAAAGCACUUUAAGUUGGGAGGAAGGGUAGUAACCUAAUACGUUGCUACUUUGACGUUACCGACAGAAUAAGCACCGGCUAACUUACGUGCCAGCA